rnacentral:rRNA from 1 species
GACGUAGGGGCCGAGCGUUGUCCGGAGUUACUGGGCGUAAAGGGCGCGCAGGCGGUUCUCCGCAUCUCUGGUGAAAGCCCCGAGCUUAACUCGGGAGGGUGCGCCGAAUACUGAGGGACUUUGGAGUGCGGGAGAGGAAAGUGGAAUUCCUGGUGUAGCGGUGGAAUGCGCAGAUAUCAGGAGGAACACCAAUAGCGAAGGCAGCUCGCUGGGACGGUAUUGACGCUAAGGCGCGAAAGCGUGGGGAGCGAACAGG